rnacentral:SRP_RNA from 1 species
GGGUAAGUCCUAUACGACCAGCUCCCGUUGAAUCCCCCCAGGUCCGGAAGGAAGCAAGGGCAAAUGGUUGUAGCGGUGCGAUAUAGUCAGCUUACCCUUU